rnacentral:lncRNA from 1 species
CUCCAUGUGCUCAUUCCCGUGGUUUAUAUUCAGCGUCUGAUGAUAGCUAACCAUUUUUGUGAAGCCUGGAGCAUAAUAGGUAUUAAGAGCUCAAGUCUUCUGAUGCAUCUGCUAUUUGUUUUCCCUCCCCACUAAUUAGCGGGUCUCCAUUCUCCUUUGUCUUGCUCCUAAUGUAUUGGUGAAAUAUUGUCUGGCUGCCCUUUGUUUCUCUUGCUGGUUGCAUCUCCUAUUGUUGCGCUCCUGCUUCCCGGCCGUCGUUCCCAUGUUACACACGCCCUGUUCUCUUAGCCUUGCCUUUAGCGCCGUGCCCUCAUUUUCCCUCUGCAUGUCAUUUCAUCCUGGCAGCUUAAAACCCAGUGUGGGCUUUGCUUUCCCUAGAAUCAUUGGCUGGGUGAAUGCUUCAGGACAGAUUCCUAAGCACUGGAGAAUAGGAAUAUUUGGCUUUGUGGUCUCUAGCGCCUAACACAAAAUCUAAACCAUUCCAGUAUGUUCUGGAAAGCUGACCUACCCGGACCCAGCAGCCUGGACUUCUUGCCACGGUGUGACGUCAUGGUCUGGGCAUUCUAUGAUGUUCAGUGGAAGCCUGUGUUGAGUUCAGUGGAUGUUGGACAAGGCGUCAGGCCCAGAAGUCUCGUACCAGGAAGGCCAAAAAGGAGUCAGCUGGCUAAGGUGUGGGCUCCAGGCUCAGACAGCCUGUGCUUAAGCUGGUUCCCCUUCUUCCUCCUCCCACCAGUUUCUUUCUUCUCAGCCUGGAUGCUUGGAUCCAAGUGCCAUCGUCCGCAAGCUGUACCAUGCUUCAGCUGCUGGAUUAAGGAUGCUCCCAAUAACACUUGCCUAUGACCAGGGAUGGUGAGGCUUGAAUGCGAUCUCUGUCACAGUGGCAAUUCUCAAUCACGGUCAGAUAUUAUGCUACUGGUCCUUGUUUCACGGGAAAACACGACUUUGGCCACACCUUAAUUCACGAAUGCAUCUGUGCACUUCCCCCCCGGGAGUUCUAGCAGUCAGCGACGAGCCAGGGUGAUGUUAAGAGCAAGGUUCUCUCCAAGAGUGGAAACGUGGCCAGGGUGGCAGACACCUGGAGAGGCUCCAUGCAAAACGCAGGCUUCCCAGCCUGGGCUUAUUCCAUCUUGGUGAAUGAAGAGUCUCGUCCAGGCGAGAGGCUUCUGAGAGGGGUAUGGUGUAGCGGAACGAAUGGUUCAUCCGGGACCCGGAGGAGACUGUCCCCUGCCCAAUUUCAGAGGGGUCAAGGGAGAAAACCAUGCUCGGCAAAGGUGAGUUUCUCUCUCCCUUCUCUCUCUCUAACGCUGCCAAAUAUUUAUUUUCUGCCAUCUUCUCUCCCCAGAUCUACGGACGUAAUUUACACAGGACCCCCGAGGGUAAUUAAGCCAGCAAUUCCCUUGCCAGUGAAAUGAGACAAGCCAGCUCUCAGGAAAUUCUGAAUUCUACUACGGACACUGCAGAAACUGAACUAAAAACAGCUGCAGUUUAUCUGUGCAGCCGAAUUGACUAUAAUAUGCUGCUACCCGCACACUUAGCACAUAGCAAUCAGUGUACAGAAGCACAGAAUUUUAAGAUGAUGAAUGUUUUAUUUCUUAAAAUAAACAGUAGCAAUUUAGAAACA